AGAGUUUGAUCCUGGCUCAGAUUGAACGCUGGCGGCAUGCCUUACACAUGCAAGUCGAACGCGAAAGGGGGCAACCCCGAGUAGAGUGGCGAACGGGUGAGCAAUACAUCGGAACGUGUCCUGUAGCGGGGGACAACACAUCGAAAGAUGUGCUAAUACCGCAUACGAUCUACGGAUGAAAGUGGGGGACCGCAAGGCCCCACACUAUAGGAGCGGCCGAUGCCGGAUUAGCUUGUUGGCGGGGUAAAAGCCCACCAAGGCGACGAUCCGUAGCUGGUUUGAGAGAACGACCAGCCACACUGGGACUGAGACACGGCCCAGACUCCUACGGGAGGCAGCAGUGGGGAAUUUUGGACAAUGGGCGAAAGCCUGAUCCAGCCAUGCCGCGUGAGUGAAGAAGGCCUUCGGGUUGUAAAGCUCUUUCGGCGGGGACGAAAUAGCGCGGGGUAACAUCCCGCGUCGAUGACGGUACCCGAAGAAGAAGGACCGGCUAACUACGUGCCAGCAGCCGCGGUAAUACGUAGGGUCCAAGCGUUAAUCGGAAUUACUGGGCGUAAAGCGUGCGUAGGCGGUCUCGCAAGUCCGAUGUGAAAUCCCCGAGCUUAACUUGGGAACUGCGUUGGAAACUACGAGGCUAGAGUGCGGCAGAGGGGGGUGGAAUUCCAGGUGUAGCAGUGAAAUGCGUAGAGAUCUGGAGGAACACCGAUGGCGAAGGCAGCCCCCUGGGUUAGCACUGACGCUCAUACACGAAAGCGUGGGGAGCAAACAGGAUUAGAUACCCUAGUAGUCC
rnacentral:rRNA from 1 species